rnacentral:rRNA from 1 species
GACGAACGCUGGCGGCGUGCUUAACACAUGCAAGUCGAACGGAAAGGCCCCCUUGUGGGGUACUCGAGUGGCGAACGGGUGAGUAACACGUGAGUAACCUACCCUUGACUUUGGGAUAACUUCAGGAAACUGGGGCUAAUACCGGAUCGGAGCUCCUGCUGCAUGGUGGGGUUUGGAAGUGUUCGGCGGUUGGGGAUGGACUCGCGGCUUAUCAGCUGGUUGGUGGGGUAGUGGGUCACCAAGGCUUUGACGGGUGGCCGGCCUGAGAGGGUGACCGGCCACAUUGGGACUGAGAGACGGCCCAGACUCCUACGGGAGGCAGCAGUGGGGAAUAUUGCACAAUGGGCGGAAGCCUGAUGCAGCAACGCCGCGUGCGGGAAGACGGCCUUUGGGUUGUAAACCGCUUUCGCCUGUGACGAAGCGUGAGUGACGGUAAUGGGUAAAGAAGCACCGGCUAACUACGUG